CGGGGCGCACGAGGUCCGCGCGGGUCCUACCUGGAGCGACACCGCGCGGCAGGGCGCCAGGCUCCGCGGCGUGGGCCGCCGCGCCCGCCCCAGAGGUCGUUUCCCCUGCAGUUUCCAACAUGGCAGGCAGGCAGGUUUUAUAGACAUGGACAAGAAGUCUGCACACAGAAGUUCUGAGGAUGCCAGGACCGGCAAAAGUGGAGGUAAACACAAACAAAAGAAAAGAGAAAAGCAAAACCAAGAACACCACCGAUCCCGACAUAGGUCAACAUCUCAUUCUUCAGAUGACUGUGUGUUUCCUUCUUCUGUAUCAUCUUCAGGAAGCCAACGGAUUCAAGUCUAGAAGGUGCUGCCAAGGGAAGAAUUAAGAGAAAGAGAGGAAAGAAAAGGAGUAAACGGAGAAAAGAAAGAAAGGAGGCAUCUUCCAAGAUGUCCAUCAUUCUGUCUGGUCCUCCGUCUUUGAUCCGCACCAUUUGCCACUGAGACAUCAUCCUUCCUGUCUGCCUAGUCCUUUCAGGACAGAAGAUGAAACAGCAAGAAAAAAGAAGAAAAACAGGAGGAAACAAUCACAUGAUAUCACCUUUCCAAGAGGGGCUGCAACCAGGUUGGACUUUGUGAUUUCCCGCACUCAACCUUUGGGUGCAAGGUGGUCUCAGGGCGCCGAGCCCGGCUCUGUGAAACUUGCAGAGACCUGGAACAGCUCGGGGAUGGCAUGUCCUUCGGCCAUGUCUAGACUCCUGAAGCCAGUCUCCGCCUCCUCUGUAGCCACACAAUAAAGAGCUGGGAAAUCCCAUUUUGUUGUGAAGGUCCACAUGCAGUUCUCGACUCUGACCUACAAGCCCCUUGUGGCAUUUUAGGAUGUUUAUCCUGUAUUCAAAUAUUUGAUGGGGAAGGAGGAGAUUGAACCUGCUCUCUUGAAUAUUAUGCCUAAUAAUUGCAUCUAAAAUACCUAUACUGAAGUCCCACACAAAGCAAAAACUUACAAAUGCAUGAAAAGGUAAAGGCUUAUUCAUGCAUGUCUUAGUUUUUCUUCCCAAGUUUUGGUGAUUUUUUUUUU